AAUCAAUCAAUUGAUCAUUUAAUCAAUUAUUAUCAUCAGCGGCAGCAGUGGCGUCAUCAUCAUCACCACCACCACCACCACCACCACCAUCAUCAUGAUCGUUAUUAUUAUUUAACAUUUGGUAAAUUUCAGGCAAGCAAGUUUCUACUUCAUCAUCUGCUACACCUCUGUGUUGUUGUUGUUGUUGGGGGGGGGGGGGGCAUUGUGUGUCUUUUUUGUUGUUGUUGUUGUUGUUGGGGGAGUGCAAACUCUUCCUAGUAUUGUAUUGCAUCAUUUGGUUUUGUUAUGGGGUCUGGUUGCAUUCUUUUUUUGUAUUAGAGUUUGUAUAUUAUAUUGUGUGUGUAAUGUCAGCUGUGUUCCUCUGGGUACAAAGCCUGCUGGUGGUUGUUUAUUUUAUUGGAUAUUUGCUAUAUAGAGUGUGUCUUGUGUUUGGGAAUUGUUUUGUCUGGGUUGUAUUAUUGAAUCGGUAGUGUCUUGCAAAGGACGUGAGCUGUUCCUAGCAGGGCUGUUUUUUGGAUAGUGUGUAGCAUUAUGGGUCCAGGUAUAGCUUCUACAGUAUUCCUUCAUAUGUUUUUUUUUUAUUAUGCCCAAAUGCUCCAAUUAUUACUGGUAUUGUUUUCACCUUCAUGCUCCACAUUUUGAAUGUUUCAAUUUUGAGGGCUUUGUACUUUGACUAAUAACCCCACUUCCUUUUGGGCAACAUUUUGGUCAGAAGGGAUUGAAAUAUUUAUCAGUAAGCAUGUGUAUUUUAUUAUCAAUAUUAUUAACAUAAUUAACAUUAAUAUUAUUAUUAUUAUUAUUAUUAUUAUUAUUAUUAUUAUUAUUAUUAUUAUCAUCAUCAUCAUCAUCAUCAUCAUCAUCAUCAUCAUCAUCAUCAUCAUCAUCAUCAUUAUUAUUAUUAUUUUCAUCAUCAUCAUCAUCAUUAUUAUUAAUAUUAUUAUCAUCAUUAUUAUCAUUUCAUGUUCUGAGUUCAAAAUUCUGUCUAGGCUGACUUUGCCUUUCACCUUUUUGGGGGUUGAUAAUAUAAGUAUCAGUUGAGUACUAGGGUUGAUGUAGGGUUUUGUGCCAAAAUUUGAAAUUAUUAUUAUUAUUAUUAUUAUUUCCAUUAUCAUCUUUCAACUCUGUUUCCACUUUUUGCCGAGUAUCCUCCUGACACCUAGGGCAGUGAAACGCACUGUAUACAUUGGUAGGUCAUCAAAAUAAAUACACCAGAUUGUUCACUUACAAAGUCAUGUGAUAAAGAAAAAGAGGAAGAAAGACAGAGAGAAAAAGGAAAAAUAAAAAAUAAAAAAGUAAAUAAAAAAAUAAAGGCGGGGAAAAGGGAAAGAAAAUUCACAGCAACAAUGCUCUUCUCAAUACAUGUGACAUACCAUUUAAGACAAUCUUUUGCACUUCCUGCAUGGAUGGUAAGCCAGGGAUCAUUCUUAAAUAAUUUUCAGUUCCUUCUUUGAUCAUUCCAUUUACUCCUACAAUCACUGGUAUUGUAACUGUCUUGAGAUGCCACAUCUUUUCAAUUUCGAUUAGCAAAUCUUUAUAUUUUCUGAGCUUAUCAAAUUCUUUUGCCGAGAUAUUAUGGUCACAGGAUAUGCUCAUGUCAAUCAAUAAACAGACUUUAUUGUUUUGGUCUUUCACAACAAUAUCUGGUUUGUUUGCUUUGACAGUCCAGUCUGUACACACUGCGAAGUCCCAAAGAACCGUCACAUUUUCUCACUCAGUUACAACCUCAGGGUUGUGCUUGUACCAUUUGUCAGCUGUUUUGAUUUUAUAAUGCCGACACAUUUUCCAAUGUAGAUAUUGGCCAGCUCCAUGGUGUCUUGGCUUGUACUCUACAGGUGCUAAAACCUAACACCUAGAGAUUAGGUGGUCCACUGUUUCAAUCCCAUCUUGCAAUAUCGGCACUUUGGGUCUACACCAUUUUUCAUCACAUUGGCUUGAUAGUUCCAGGUAAAAAUGCUCUGAUCUUGAGCAGCUAAGAUAAAGCCUUUAGUCCUGAGCUCCAUAGGAAGCACUCCGUCGGUUACGACGACGAGGGUUCCGGUUGAUCUGAUCAAUGGAACAGCCAGCUCGUGAAAUUAACGUGUAAGUGGCUGAGCACUCCACAGACACGUGAACCCUUAACGUAGUUCUCGGGGAUAUUCAGCGUGACACAGAGAGUGACAAGGCCGGUCCUUUGAAAUACAGGUACAACAGAAACAGGAAGAAAGAGUGAGAGAAAGUUGUGGUGAAAGAGUACAGCAGGGAUCCCCACCAUCCCCUGCCAGAGCCUCGUGGAGCUUUUAGGUGUUUUCGCUCCAUAAACACUCACAACGCCCGGUCUGGGAAUCGAAACCGCGAUCCUAUGACCGCGAGUCCGCUGCCCUAACCACUGGGCCAUUGCGCCUCCACCUGAGCUCCAUAGCCCCUGAUCAGUGUGCUUCUGGUCUACAUCAGCUUGUUUGCUAUGGGCCACAGAAACAAGGCUCAGGUUUGAUCUUAUUCCUGGUAGUAUUUAUAUGCAUAGCCGGUUGCUACCUGUAACCUUAGGUAACCACACGUUUUUGGCAGUCUUUCAAGUGCUUCGAACCCUCCUGCUAAUCAUUGCUGCCCCUAAGCUCUACCACGCAUUCUAUUUCAACCUCCAUCAGCCAUUUGUCUAUAUUUUGGCUCACUGUUCCCAGAGACACCAAUUAUUACAGACACAACCUUUACUCUUCACAGGCUCCAGAUUCUUCCUAUUUCACAUACAAAGGAUUGCAUUUUCUUUGUUUUUCUUCCUCUUUCUUUAUGAUCCUGGAAUCAAAUGUGUAUGAUGGGUCGAUAAGUAAGUAAAUUCGCUUGGCCUUACCUAUGACUGAAAUAUCUGGUCUAUUACUUUCUAAUGCUACGUUGUUAUCCUCAUUCCAUAAACGGUGGCUUUUAAUGGGUGGAGAGCUGAACCAUCCGGGGGGUACAGAGGAUUCACAAUCUAGACUAGGGUCUGAAAGUUUUACCACACCAUAGGGGGGUUACACCAUGGUUCCUCUGCUUUGUGGCAGAAGUAGGAAGAAAGAGUGAGAGAAAGUUGUGGUGAAAGAGUACAGCGGAGUUCACCACUCCCUUCCCCCGCUGGAGCCUCGUGGAGCUGAGAUGUUUUUGCUCAAUAAACACUCACAAUGCUCGAUCUGGGAAUCGAAACCCGUUCUUACGACCGCGAGUCCGCUGCCCUAACCACUAGACCAUUGUGCCUCCACUUAUUUCUGCUGCUGUUGCUGUUGUUGUUGUUGUUGUUGUUGUUAUAUCUAUUUAUUGGCUCUUAGGGUGUGAAGACUUGGUUUCUCCUCUAUGACUUUAAUUUAGGCAUUAUCAAAUGAAAUUUUCUUUAGAGUAUUUGCCAAAAGGGAUUGCAAUCACCUGAGGACUGCCUGUUCUGAUGCCUGAAGGAAGACGAAAAUAAAGUUUGCUUUUACAGCCUUUACUGUAUUCGCUUACAUAUUUUGACAAUAUUUCACACCAAAAUUUCUGACAGAUAAACCUUCCACUCAAAGCAAAAUACUACAAAAUCAAACAAGAUGAGAAAUAUAAUGCAAAAAGAAACUGCACAUUAAAAUGAUGAAAAGUAGAAAACAGUAAACAUUUUAAUGAAUAAUUUAAUAGAAGAAAAACUAUUUUAAACAAUUACAUUUAUGUAUUUCUUUUGCAAGAUUCUUGGUGUGAAAACAUGUAUUGAAAUAAAUCAGAAUCAUCAUCAUCGUUUAACGUCUGCUUUCCAUGCUAGCAUGGGUUGGACGAUUUGACUGAAGUCUGGCGAACCAGAUGGCUGCACCAGGCUCCAAUCUGACCUGGCAGAGUUACUACAGCUGGAUGCCCUUCCUAACGCCAACCACUCCGAGAGUGUAGUGGGUGCUUUUUAUGUGCCACCGACACAAGAGCCAGUCAGGCAGUACUGGCAAUGGCCACUCUCAAAUAGGGCUUUGGGGAUAGUAAUCUUUUGCCAAUUAAACACAUGCACUAUUUCAUUGAUCGUUACUUGAGUUUUGUGAUUGUUGUAAAGAAAUGGAAUUGGCAGGAGAAGAGGAGACAUGUGAGGCAGAAUGUCACUGAAGAGGUUACAGAAUGGGUGAUGGAAGAACUUGGAUGGACAAAUAAACUAAAAAAUAAUACUAAUAAACUAAAGUGAAGAUCAAAUAAAUAGCAUAUGUAUUUUAUUGGCAAAGGAUGACCAUCUACAAGUACAACAAUAUUUUGAAAAAAAAAAAACACCAUCCGAGCGUGGCCGUUCGCAAACCUCAUCUGGCAUCUGUGUCGGUGGCACAUAAAAAACACCAUCCAAGCGUGACCGUUCGCCAGCCUCGUCUGGCACCUGUGUCGGUGGCACAUAAAAAACACCAUCCGAGCAUGGCCGUUUGCCACCCUCGUCUGGCAUCUGUGUCGGUGGCACAUAAAAAACACCAUCCGAGCGUGGCCGUUCGCCAGCCUCGUCUGGCACCUGUGUCGGUGGCACAUAAAAAGCACAGAGUGGUUGGCGUUAGGAAGGGCAUCCAGCUGUAGAAACACUGUCAGAUCAGACUUGCCUGGUGCAGCCUUCUGACUUCCCUGACCCCAGUUGAACCGUCCAACCCGUGCUAGCAUGGAAAGCGGACGUUAAACGAUGAUGAUGAUUAUGAUGAUGAUAGUAAUAAGUUAGCAACAGCACUUUUAACAUUUUAAAUGGCAGAAAUAGUAAGGGGUAACCACCUCUUGUACAGUCCAAGAAACAAGUGAGCAGCCACCUCACCCCUAAUUUCAGCAACUAGGGACACUAUUCUAUCAUCAUGUAUCAAAGAGAAGCUAAUAAGUGCAGAAGGAAGUAUCCAAAUUUUCAAGGGAAAAUACAAAAAGAAAUUAAUAAAAGAAAGAUGUCAUAGGCUGUGUGGUAAGUGGCUUGCUUACCAACCACAUGGUCCCAGGUUCAGUCCCACUGCGUGGCACCUUGGGCAAGUGUCUUCUACUAUAACCUCGGGCUGUGCAAAGCCUUGUGAGUGGAUUUGGUAGAUGGAAACUGAAAGAAGCCCAUUGUAUAUAUGUAUAUGUAUAUAUGUAUAUGUAUAUAUGUAUAUGUAUAUAUGUAUAUGUAUAUAUGUAUAUGUAUAUAUGUAUAUGUAUAUGUAUAUAUGUAUAUGUAUAUAUGUAUAUGUAUCACUUGAUGUUUACGUUCCCAUAACUUAGUGGUUCAGUAAAAGAGACCAAUAGAAUAAGUACUAGGCUUACAAAGAAUAAGUCCUGGGGUCGAUUUCCUCAACUAAAGGCAGUGCUCCAGCAUGGCUGCAGUCAAAUCACUAAAACAAGUAAAGGAGUAAAGCUUGGCAAUUCAUCAUGCAAAGACCAAUGGAAUAAAGUUGUAUACUUGACAACAAGUGAUAUUAACUGUCAGCAAGAGCAUCUGGCUAUAGAAUACUGCCUUAAGAAGUCUCAUCUAACUCAUACUAGCAUGGAAACAAUGAACAUAAAAAUGGUGAGGAUGGUAGAAACAUCUGGCCUAGAGGCAAUAACAUCUGAUUCAACAAAGCUUGUUUUGUUGUGUGGGAGAUGGAUGAUAGCAAGCAGCUCCUAUGUCACAGUGGAAAGGGUCAAAACACCUACAAAGGUGCUUUACUGCCUGAUAAGAGAUCAAUUCAGAGAUGGGUUGCUGCUGCGCCCUCAGUGCACAAGUGUUCGCUCUAAAUGACUCAGAACAAGAACAUUUAGUGAUGGGAAAUCAGAAUGUCGCUCAGAUCUCCAAUUACCCUUUAAUACAAAAGUGGGUAAAUGUCUCGUCUCUCCUAUAAAAUUACAAAUAAAAUAUGUGAAGAGAUUCUUCCAGCCAAAACAAACUCAACAUUUUCCACCGAUACUUCAACAACCAUACACGAAGACAUCACUUCCCUCUCCACCAUAAGCUUCCUUUUCAAGUGGUACUUGUAAAAGUUGAUGAAGAUUUGUCUGGAAAGGAAACUGUUGUGUCAAUCAAUGUUCUUUAUGAUUUUUUAUAGUCAGUAUACACAAAUACCGUAUGUUGUGCAGAAUUUUUUUCUUGAGACAAAUGUGGAGACUGACAACUGUAUAAUAAUCACAAUUAUCAAUUUACUGAUUGAGAAAAAUGUGUUGGCACACCCAUGUGCACAAAGACAGCCUGGGGAGCAGUCUUUGAAUUAUAUCCACCUUAUAACCCUUUCUUUUUCAUCCUAACCAGAAACAAAUACUGUGAAGUAGGAGUGGCUGUGUGGUAAGUAGCUUGCUAAAGAAUCACAUGGUUCCGGGUUCAACCCCACUGUGUGGCACCUUGGGCAAGUAUCUUCUUCUAUAGCCUUGGGCUAAGCAAAGCCUUGUGAGCAGAUUUGGUAGAUGGAAACUGUAAGAAGCCCGUCGUAUAUAUGUGUGUGUAUAUAUAUAUAUAUAUAUAUAUAUAUAUAUAUACGGUGGUGCCCCAGCAUGGCCGCGGCCUUCGGGCUAAAACAUUUUUAAGGAUUUUUAAGGAUUUAAGGAUUUAUGUGUGUGUGUGUGUGUGUGUUUGUUUGUUCCCCAACAUUGUUUGACAACUGAUACUGGUGUAUUUACAUCCCUGUAACUUAGCGGUUCAGCAAAAGUGCCCCAUAGAAUAAAUACUAGGGUUACAAUGAAUAAGUCCUGGGGUCGAUUUGCUCAACUAAAGACGGUGCUCCAGCAUGGCCACAGUCAAAUGACUGAAACAAGUAAAAGAGAGAGUAAAGGGAGUAAGUAUUUUGACUGAUUCUCCAGCAAUUCUCUCAAUCCACUGCUAUAACAAUAAUGAUGGACUCUCCCAUCGAAGUCAACAUAUAGGUGCAGGAGUGGCUGUGUUGUAAGUAGCUUGCUUACCAACCACAUGGUUCCGGAUUCAGUCCCACUGCAUGGCAUCUUGGGCAAUUGUCUUCAACUAUUGCCCUGGACUGACCAUUGCCUUGUGAGUGGAUUUGGUAGACGGAAACUGAAAGAAGCCUGUCGUAUAUAUGUAUAUAUAUAUAUAUGCACGUGUGUGUUUGUGUGUCUGUGUUUGUCCCUCUAGCAUUGCUUGACAACCGAUGCUGGCGUGUUUACGUCCCCGUCACCUAGCGUUUGGCAAAAGAGACCGAUAGAAUAAGUACUGGGCUUACAAAGAAUAAGUCCCCGGGGUCGAUUUGCUCGACUAAAGGCGGUGCUCCAGCAUGGCCACAGUCAAAUGACUGAAACAAGUAAAAGAGUAAAAGAGUAUAUGAAUGUUCAGCUUUUUGUUGAACGACCUGCACAAAUAAUUUGCUUAUAGUGAUCAGGCCACAAAUUAUUUGUUUAUUGAGUUUGUGCCACACAUUAGCCCACUCUCUCUCCAUCAAAUCGACAUUGUCUGAACAGGUGUAUAGUGUACUAUGUGUCAGGUGUCAUAGUGAUUGCAGAGAAAUGUGAGAUUAAAUGUUUUUUUGGCUCAAGAACACAACACACCACCGGGUUCUGUAAUUGAAAUCAUGAUCAAGUGAUCGCAAGUGCAACGCCCUAACCACUAAGCCAUGUACCCCCUCACUAAUAACAAUGAUAAUAACAAUGAUGAUGAUGAUGAUGAUGAUGGUGGUGGUGGUGGUGGUGGUGGUGGUGGUGGUGGUGGUUGUGGUGGUGGUGGUGGUGGUGGUGGUGGUGGUGGUGAUGAUGAUGAAAGAGAGCAAGUUGAUUACUUGUUUUAUUGAUCAUGACAGGAUGAAAGGCAAAGUCAACCAUAGUGGAAUUUGAACUCAGAUCAUAAAGAUUGAUAAAAUGCUGCUUAGCAUUGUGUCCAGCAUGUUAACAAUUCUAGCAGCUUGCUGCCUUGAUAAUAAUAAUAAAAAUGAUGAUGAUGAUGAUGAUGAUAACAAUAAUAAGGAUGAUGAUGAUGAGGAUGAGGAUAACAAUAAUAAGGAUGAUGAUGAUGAUGAUGAUGAUAAUAAUAAUAAUAAUGAUGAUGAUGAUGAUGAUAACAAUAAUGAUGAUGAUGAUGAUGUUGAUGAUAACAAUAAUAAUAAUGAUGAUGAUGAUGAUUGAUGAUGAUGAUGAUGAUAACAAUAAUGAUGAUGAUGAUGAUGAUGAUAACAAUAAUAAGGAUGAUGAUGAUGAUGAUGAUGAUGAUGAAGAUGAUGAUGAAGAUGAUGAUAACAAUAAUAAUGAUGAUGAUGAUGAUGAUAACAAUGAUGAUGAUGAUGAGGAUAACAAUAAUAAGGAUGAUGAUGAUGAUGAUGAUGAUGAUGAUAAUAAUAAUAAUGAUGAUGAUGAUGAUUGAUGAUAAUAAUAAUAAUGCCCUGAUGCAAUGCUAGGCAGUGGCUCUCAUGGCUUCUGAUCUUAACUGAUUGGAAGUGUUAUCAUGUACAUUGUUUUGUCUUGGUAUAAAAGAUGGGCAACAGCAAAUAUUCUGCUCAAUACCACAGAUUUGCUUGUCAGUUGUUUGACCUUAACCAGUUGAACAUGUCCCUUAGAGGCUGACGAUAUGUGCAUCUCUGAUCACGAGCAGAAGUAGUGGGGGAGCAUCAUAGCCAUGUGUUGAGAGGGAUUCUUGGAGGUUUGGAUAAUUCAUCUUUUGAAACAUUGGUGGUUUGUUCAACAUCCUUAAACAAUCUUUAUUCAGGGAUCUUUUGAGCGGGAUGGGCUACUUGACAAGAAGAAAAUUCUAACUGGGCCCCACCUGCAAGGUCAUGCGCUAUUUACUUUGAUAUGAGAUCACCAUGUCGCGCACAUAUGGUUGUAAUGCAUGUGCCUGGUGUACCCUUAUCAGACAGGUAGUCAUGAUGGGUAUAUUGGGCUUCGUAUAUUUUACCCCAGUGUCACUUUGAUGGCAUGCACUGCUCUCUCACUCAAUAAUAAUAAUAAUAAUAAUCCUUUCUACUAAAAGCACAAAGCCGGAAAUUUCGGGGGUGGGGUAAGUCAAUCACAUUGACACCAGUGCACCACAGGUACUUAUUUUAUUGACCCUAAAAGGAUGAACAGCAAAGUCAAUCCGAACAGAAUUGAACUCAGAACAUAAAGAUAAAUAAAAUGCUACCAAGUUUUCUGUCCGGUCUGCUAAUGGUUCUGACACCUUGCCUCUUAUAUAAGAAGAAAUAUUGGCUUCAAAUUUUGGCACAAGGCCAGUAAUUUCGAGGGAAGGGGCUAAUCAACUGCAUUGACCCCCAGUGCACAACAGGUAAUCAUUUUAUCGACUUCAAAAGGACGAAGGGCAAAGUCGACAUCAGCAGAAUUUGAACUCAGAAUGUAGAAACAAACAAAAUACCACCAAACAUUUUGCCUGAUGCAGUAAUGAUUCUUCCAGCUCACCACGUUGGAUUGUGUCUUUAACAUUGGUUUAAAGUUUUCGUUCAAGGCCAGCAAAUUCAGAGAGGGGAGAAAUUGAUUACAUCGACCCUAGUGCACAAUUGGUACUUGAUUUUUAUCAACUCUGAAAUGAUGAAAAGCCAAGCCAACUUUGGCAGAAUUUGAACUCAGAACAUAAAGACAGACAAAAUGCCACUAAGUAUUAGGUUUAUGAUUCUGCCAGCUUACAACCUUAGACUGGGUCUUUAGUAUUAUCAUUUUUAUUUAGUUGUGUCUGGGGAGAGUCAUUUUCUUUUUGUGCCUUAUAAUUUAACACACCCAUUGAUAAAAUUUCCACUUAUUCCUUAUUUUAUUUUCAAUAGUCUUGACUCAAUACUAUUGAAAAGAUUGCAAGACGCAACGAAAAGUUUAGGAAAAUAAAAAUAAGAAAAAAAGUGGAAAUUUUACUGGUGAAUGUGUUAAAUUAAUAAGGCACAAAAAGAAAAUGACUCUCCCCAGACACAACAGAAUAUGCUUCAACACACGAACUCCUAUAAAGAAUCUUGCAAACCAAAUCCAAAAACAAAAUAUUUUUAUUUAGUCUACUUGAAUUUGUUUUAGGUAAAGACAGAAGUAAGCAGGAUGCGAUAGAAUAGAGAACUAGCAUUUUAACUCUUUUGUUACCAUUUUUUUCUUUUUUCUUUUUGAAAUUACACUGAUAUUGUUUCAGUAAAAUUUGAAAAUAUUGAAGAAUUCAGUAAAAUAACUUGGUCAUGACGAAGCUGGUGUUGAGAACAUAAAUUAACUUGAAAUUUUGAUGAGAUGUUUUAAUUUUACAUCACUUUAAAAUGAGAAGUUUGUGUCAUAGAACCAGGGACAGUCUCAGGAGAGUGGGGGACUUAUCUAAGCGGUUAAUGCUGGAAUGUAGAACAUGUUUUAAUGUAAUUAUUUGAGCUGCUAAAAACAGCAGCUAAAUUUCCUUUAUAUCAAUGAUAUUCAAUACCACUUUGGUCAACAGAGUAUUAACCCUUUUGUUACUGUAUUUAUUUUGAGAUGCUCUGUGUUUCUUUCAAUUACUUUAAAUACAAUAAAAUUUUUAGUAAUCAUUAAGCUUUGUGUUAGGAGCACAAAUUGUGACUAAGAUUUGGUGGAAGAUUUUAAUUCAAAACUUAUAAAAACAAGAGAUUUGCACUCAGAGCUGGAGCCGGUUUCAGCCGGGUUGGUAACGGAAAUAUUCAAUAGUAUUAAAUACAUGAUGCUUAUAAAGAAAAACAGUGAAUUGGUCGUAGCUAGGAUGCUUUUAAUUAUUGACUUGCUCAAAGAAGGCUGACCUGGGGUUAAACAAUAGCAAUAAUCACAACAAAACAGACUCAAUAAAAAAAUGGUUUUUAUCUAGAAUUUUUGUGUAUUUUUAAUCCCUUGCUAAAAAUACCAAAGAGGUUUUAAUGCAGAAUAAAUGUGAGGUUGCAGGCAUUGCUGUGUGGUUGAGAAGUUCACUUCCCAACCACAUGGUUCUGGUUUCAGUUCCACUGCAAGGCACCAUGGGCAAGUGUCUUCUACUGUAGCCUUGGAUCAGCUAAAGACUUUUGAGUGGAUUUGGUAGACGGAAACUGAAAGAAGCUUGUUAUAUACAUGUAUGUGUGAGUGUGUGCAUGUGUGUGUAUGUAUGUGUGUGUGAUUGUGUGUAUGUGUGUGUUUGUGUGUAUGUGUGUGCUUGUGUGUGUAUGUAUUUGUGUGUGUGUGUGUGUAUGUGUGUGUUUGUGUGUGUUUGUGUGUGUGUAUGUGCGUGUGUGUGUAUGUGUGUGUUUGUGUGUGUGUUUGUGUGUGUAUGUAUUUGUGUGUGUGUGUGUGUGUGUGUGUGUUUGUGUAUGUGUGCGUUUGUGUGUAUGUGUGUGUGUAUGUGUGUGUUAGUGUGUGUGUUUGUGUGUUUGUGUGUGUAUGUAUUUGUGUGUGUGUGUUUGUGUGUGUGUAUGUGUGUGUGUGUGCUUGUGUGUAUGUGUGUGUGUGUGUAUGUGUGUGUUUGUGUAUGUGUGUGUGUGUGUGUGUUUGUGUAUGUGUGUGUUUGUGUGUAUGUGUGUUUGUGUGUGUGUGUGUGUGUGUGUGUUUGUGUGUAUGUGUGUGUUUGUGUGUGUAUGUAUUUGUGUGUGUGUGUGUUGCUCUUGAUAUUGUGCAAUAGUUGUAAGCAAGAUUCACCAUCUCACAAACAGUGUUGUUUGUUUCCAGUUUUUCUGUCACAGACAUGUCAAAAUGAUGAUGAUGAUGAUGAUGAUGAUGAUGAUGAUGAUGAUGAUGAUGAUGAUGAUGAUGACGACGGUGAUGAUGGUGAUGGUGGUGGUGGUGAUGUUGUUGAUGAUGAUGAUGAUGAUGAUGAUGGUGGUGAUGGUGGUGGUGGUGGUGGUGGUGGUUGUGAUGUUGAUCAUGAUCAUGAUGAUGGUGAUGAUGAUGAUGAUGAUGAUGAUGACGACGAUGACUACGAUGACUACGAUGACAGCAGCAACAAUAGCGAGAGGACAGCAACAAUGAUGACCGACUACAAUGACAAUGGCGGCGAUGACCGUGAUGGGGGAACGAUGACAACCGUGUCUUUGAUGAUGAUGAUAUCUGUAAAGAAUUUGAAAAAAGCUAAAUGAGAUUUCCAAAUACAUUUAUAUGACAUGAACAUAAAUCUCACAAUAGAGUUUUACUGAAAAUUAAAAUAUAAGGAAUUAAAAAAAUAUAUAUAUAAAAAGAAUACUUUUUUAAUUUAAAUUAAAGUGUUUUCUUUAUAUGAAUUAUAGAAUUAUAGGAUUUUUUUUUUGUUUUUUUUCAUAAUAAAUAUUAUAAAAUUUUAUAUCACGUUUUGUAUAUUUUAGCUUCGGAACAAAAGAAAAAGCUGAGGUUGUUACACAUUAAAGCGUAGACAUACAACAGUUUAAAUGACACUGAAACGAGAAAUGUAUAUUUGUGUGUUGAGAGACUACCUUGUAUUGACUAAAAGUGAUUGCUUGACCAACUAGUAAUAACAACUAAAUCUCCCUCAAAUGACAACCCUGCCAAUUGCAAUGAGGUGAAAGGAGACGUGUUAGGUAAUUGAUGUAGUUGUAGACAGACUUCUUGGCUGAAGUGAUUAUACACACAGAAUCAGGGUUGAAUGAAAAUCUUGUUGCAGAUAAAGAACAAUUUGAUUUCGACAUUCAUCAUCGUUUAUCAUCAUUACCAGUCAUUUGACUGUGGCCGUUCUGGAGCAUCACCUCGAAGUGUUCUAGUUGAACAGAUUGACCAAGGGCAUAUUCUUUUUGUAAGCAUAGUGCUUAUUGCAUCAGUCUCUUUUUGCUGAAUUGCUAAGCUCUGGGGACGUAAACACACCAGCACUGGCUGUCAUGUGGUGCCGAGUGGGACAACCAAACACACACACACACACAUGACUGGCUUCUUUCAAUUUCAGUCUACAAAAUCCACUUACAAGGCUUUGGUUGACAAUGAAGAAGAAGAAGAAGAAGAAGAAGAAGAAGAAGCAGCAACAACAACACGCUCGACCUUUAUUCUCUAUAAAAACGCCGCCGCCGUGGGGAUCUCAUUCUUGCUCACAACAUCAUAAGCAGAAAGUGUAACCUCUCGAAAGAGCUGUUCUUCACUCCUGCUCCAGAGCGUUGGCUGCGGGGUCAUUCUGAAAAGCUCUAUCUGCAACGAUUUCAUCUCAAUCGAAGGAGAGGGGCUUUCACCGUCCGGGUUGCAGAUCCAUGGAAUAAGCUGCCGGACGAGAUAGUGAAGAUGCCGACGACCGCUCGGUUCAAAGUCUCCCUUGACCACAAGUGGCCUGAACUCUUUACAUGAACACCACCCUGUACAUAAUUCCAUGUCCCCCUACAUGGCCUUGCUUUUUGAGUCAAAAAAGUAACUAACUAAUAAUAAUAAUAAUAAUCAAAUUAUGAUGCUAUGUUUCCAUUAAUUUGUCCAACUCUGUAUGUUGUAUAUAUAUAUAUAUACAUAUAUAUAUAUGUGUGUGUAUAUGUAUAUAUGUAUGUAUGUAUGUAUGCAUCUAUCUAUAUAUAUAUAUAUACACGCACACAUAUAAUAUUAAUAAUUGAUUAAGAAAACAGAUGGAUUUGGUAUUGGUUUUUAUUUUGUUAAACGAUAGCUUCCUUCCUUCCUUCUUCUAAAUAUGUGUGUCUGUGUGUAUAUAUAUAUAUAUAUAUAUAUAUAUAGAGAGAGAGAGAGAGAGAGAGAGAGAGAGAGAGGGAGAGAGAGAGAGAGAGCUAGAUAGAUACCGUAAAUCCUCGAAUAUAACCUGCAUUUUUUCCCCAAAAUUUAAAGGUCAAAAUCCCUAGUGCAUACUAUAUAUGAGGUUAAAAGUAAAAAAUAUUUUCUAGGCAAUGUCCGAGUCUCUAUUUGUGUCAGGCAAUGUUUAUUCAGACGCAUUUUGUGAUGCUGGGUGCAAAAAUACCUUAAGCUAAGCCUGAAAGCAACGAAAUCAUAAAAGAAUCAUCCAUAACUUGCAGUAAGCAACAUAUAUUAAAAUAAAAGUAUUCAGAACACAGAAUAACGUAACAAAAACAAUUUGCAAACAUAUUUACAUUCCCAUAUAACAGUUAAGAACAUCACCAUUAUUGUAUUACACAUGCGCGGUAGUGUUUGUUGUUCAACUAGGUGCCUCUGGCUUAAUUACGCACGACUUAAGUUAAAGAAGGGGUGCGUAUUAUACACAAGGUUUAGGUUUUUCAGAAGUACAAACCCCUAAAAAUCCCCUGUGGAUUAUACUCAAAGAUUUCUGAUAGAUAGAUGACUGGAUGGCUGAAUGGCUGGAUGGAUGGAUGGAUGGAUGGAUAGACUGACAGACAGACAGAUAGAUAGAUAUUCGUCAAUUAAUUUUUACAAAGAAAAUUUUAACCAUGACUUUGAAGCUGUUGAAUCGCAGAUGUGUCGUAAUUAAGAAAUUUGUUUCCCAACAGUGUGAUUUCAGGUUCUGUCUGACUGCAUGGAACUUAAGCAUCAUCUAUCAUAGCCCUGGGCCAAUCAGUGACUUGCGAGAUAUUUGGUAAAGGGAAAUUGAAAGAAGCCCAUUGUUUGUUUGUUUGUGUGCGUGUGUGAAUGUUUAGAAAACUAUGCUGGGUUGGUGUCAAUGUCUGCAGCUUUCCGACAAAUAGUGACGAAAUAAUUUGCUUUUAGAUUGAAAUUUGUUGCAGUUUGUUGACAUUUCCUACCAAUAAAUUGUCUGUGUUUUCAGACUGUUCUGCUAUAAAAUAAUAAACAAACCUCUUAAUUGGAAAACAGGUAAGGAUUGGUGGCAGGAAGUGCAUCUGGACAAAGAAAUUUGCCUCUGUUCUACUCCCAUCCAUGCCACACUAGACUAGGUAAACCAACAAACAAACGACAAAACUAUAUACAUACACUCAUAUAUACAUACAUACAUACACACACACGCAUGCACACACAUACACACACAUUCACACACAUUAUAAUAAGCGGCAAAAAUUGAUUUUGCACAAUGUCAAUAGAAAGUAUUAAAUAUAUGCUUGCUCUUCUUAGUUGUACAUACAUUUAUUAUUAUUUUUUUUCCUCUGUACUUUUUUUUUUAGUUGUAUAUAUUUUAUUUAUUUUAUUUGGUAUUUAUUGAUAGAGACUUUAAUUAGCUGAAAUUCCACCAAGUAAACAAUCAUUUGGUGAAAAAAAAAAAAAAAAGAAAAAGAAGGAAGAAAAUAUAAUUUAUUUUGUCAACUAUUUGUAUUUUCUUGAAAUUGUCUCUAUGAUGUCCUGUUAUUGAUUUAUUUUAUUAUAUUUUGUUUUGUUUGUUGUUUUUUUGCGUGU
rnacentral:lncRNA from 1 species